rnacentral:rRNA from 1 species
UAACGCGUGAGGAACCUGCCUCAAAGAGGGGGACAACGAGUUGGAAACGACUGCUAAUACCGCAUAAGCCCACAGCUCGGCAUCGAGCAGAGGGAAAAGGAGUGAUCCGCUUUGAGAUGGCCUCGCGUCCGAUUAGCUAGUUGGUGAGGUAAUGGCCCACCAAGGCGACGAUCGGUAGCCGGACUGAGAGGUUGAACGGCCACAUUGGGACUGAGACACGGCCCAG